UGAGGAAUAUUGGUCAAUGGACGAGAGUCUGAACCAGCCAAGUAGCGUGCAGGAAGACGGCCCUAUGGGUUGUAAACUGCUUUUAUAAGGGAAUAAAGUUAGUCUCGUGAGACUUUUUGCAUGUACCUUAUGAAUAAGGACCGGCUAAUUCCGUGCCAGCAGCCGCGGUAAUACGGAAGGUCCGGGCGUUAUCCGGAUUUAUUGGGUUUAAAGGGAGCGCAGACGGGUCGUUAAGUCAGCUGUGAAAGUUUGGGGCUCAACCUCAAAAUUGCAGUUGAUACUGGCGUCCUUGAGUGCGGUUGAGGUGUGCGGAAUUCGUGGUGUAGCGGUGAAAUGCUUAGAUAUCACGAAGAACUCCGAUUGCGAAGGCAGCACACUAAUCCGUAACUGACGUUCAUGCUCGAAAGUGUGGGUAUCAAACAGGAUUAGAUACCCUGGUAGUCCACACGGUAAACGAUGGAUACUCGCUGUUGGCGAUAUACUGUCAGCGGCUUAGCGAAAGCGUUAAGUAUCCCACCUGGGGAGUACGCCGGCAACGGUGAAACUCAAAGGAAUUGACGGGGGCCCGCACAAGCGGAGGAACAUGUGGUUUAAUUCGAUGAUACGCGAGGAACCUUACCCGGGCUUAAAUUGCAAAGGAAUAAUCUGGAAACAGAUUAGUCUUCGGACCUUUGUGAAGGUGCUGCAUGGUUGUCGUCAGCUCGUGCCGUGAGGUGUCGGCUUAAGUGCCAUAACGAGCGCAACCCUCGCCGCCAGUUACUAGCAGGUAAUGCUGAGGACUCUGGCGGGACUGCCAUCGUAAGAUGUGAGGAAGGUGGGGAUGACGUCAAAUCAGCACGGCCCUUACGUCCGGGGCUACACACGUGUUACAAUGGGCGGUACAGAAGGCAGCUACCUGGCGACAGGAUGCCAAUCCCUAAAGCCGCUCUCAGUUCGGACUGGAGUCUGCAACCCGACUCCACGAAGCUGGAUUCGCUAGUAAUCGCGCAUCAGCCACGGCGCGGUGAAUACGUUCCC
rnacentral:rRNA from 1 species